ensembl:ncRNA B0457.11 ncRNA
ACUUUUCCAAAAAAGCAAAACUGGCAGUAGUUCUCUUCUUGUUUACCAACUCAUAAGCCCAUUGCAGUCCCUGUUUUUUUCGGGUUCAGUGCCCUUCACAACUAAACGACUUAGCAUGGACUUCUAUACAUCUCUCAACAUAUUAAAGUCGUAUCUAUUGCAAACAUUAUACUUUCAUACAUAAUCCUAG